AUGGCCUGGGAACGCCUUGGGGUUCCUGGAGGACCUGGAAGAGGCUGGAGAGGGAAGUCUGGGCCUCCUGAGGCUGCUGACCCCGAGACCCGACCCGGAUAAGAUGAAGAAAAUGGAUGGAUGGAUGGAUGUUUCUGAUUUAAUACUCAAGCAUCAUUAGGCUCUCAUUGUUAGAACAAAAACUCACUUGGGCGCCCCCUGUUGGUUGUUACGGAGAAGGCUUCUCAGAAUAAAAUGUGACAAUAAAGUCAAAAUAUUACAAGAGCCAUAAUUGCACCAGGAUAGGACGGUCCAUUAGGGAAAUAAAAUAGUAAUAUUAUGAGUUUCUCCAUGGCAAAUAAAAUUAACGUUAUAAAUGUUGAGCGUCUUGUGAGAAAAUCAAACUUUAUCUAUUAAACAUCUGAUUAUCAGCAGCUGAACUGAGUCACAUUGAAACAACUUGCUGGUAUUUUUGUGUUUUUAUAAUAUUUUGAUUAGAUUUUUUCCGUAACUUGGUGAUUUUGGCCGUGGUGGCAGAAGGUUUGGACUGUUUGUCUGAACCAGAACCAGAACCAUCAGAGGAGCCCAGUGGGUUUAGCUCCUGACAGAUUCCAGCGUUUAUUUUAAUCCUCAAACAGAUUUUAAGACAAGAUAAUCUGAGUAAAUAUGGAGAAAAUUCACACGAAGAACUGAUGUAUUAAAUAAUAAUCUAUAAAUAAAUAAUAAUCCUGUACCUGUUCCAUCAGCUGGUUCUGGUUCCGGCUGGCGAAUCAUCACCAAACAUUAACAUGAAUUUAUUUUUCUCUUCUGUUGUUUUGACCAGAUUUUUGCUGAUUUCUUCAGAAAGUUAUGAGCGUUGAGUUUUACGACGGAGCGUAACGAGAACCGCUGGGCCUCAUCUGGGGGUCAAAGUUCAGUGAUGGGAGGAAGAUUUUCAGCCAAGCUGGACGAUUUACUGUAACCACGGCAGGUUGCUGUAAAUCACGAGUCAUUUUCUGUUUUAUUCCAGCGCUGAGGAUAUGUCAUUUACUUUAUGUUAUUGUAGCAGUGUGAUGUUGUUACACUAGAUUGUCAAGUGAUAAGCUAUUCCGGUGGGAACUCGUAUGAGCACUGGUAGCUUUUAUUUUGAAAAGACGGCAAAUCCAUUGCAAAACAGCGGGUAACUUCCUGUUUCAAAAUUAUUAUUUUUAUUUAAAUGUGGUGUGUUGUGAAUGAAAAUGUGAAUUGUUUUCUCUACUAUUGAACAUAUUGAGUUCAUAUAUUGUUGUUUUGGGUGUUAAUUCGGGGUUUAAGGAGAAAAAUUAACGGGUCAUACCAUUAUAGUUCAUGAAAGGUUUUCCCACGCUCUCCGUCGCGCUCUUUCUGUUCGGAUUCCGUGGGAGAAGGCGCUGUGGAGCACUGAUCAGAAAAGGCCUGUUUUGACCACUAUUUUCUGCUGUUUGGAUGCAGGAGCAUUAAAAGUGCCUUCAGCUCA